CGAUUUAUUUUGGCAUGUCCUGAUUUUUCUCGUAUCACCUCAGCCGCCUCCCUCUCGCCUCACGGAAAGAAAGCACGCACCCACCUAGCACUAUCCCCAUCACGAUCUGGCCGCCGCCCCAAUGAUCGACAUCGCAUUCGGCGCCGCCCGUCCCCUCCCUCUCCCGUCUCGCGCUUCUGUCUUCAAUCUCCCGUCGGACGUGCUUGUGCCUCCCAUCUCGCAUCGGCGACCACUCGCCAGCGACGCCCCGAGGCCACCGACGCGGGGAACGAAGGAUUGGUUGCCGCUGUUCGGAGCUACUUCGUCGAUGUCGCCAAUGGGGGCUUUGGCAAGUGCUCCUGGCCUUCCGCCGCCACCGCCGGGCCUGCUUAUCGGGACGCCGUCGAAUCCUCUGUCGCCAGCCCACGUCCCAGUUCUCCCCUUCCUCUCAUAGUUCAUCUAGCCCCUACAUCCUCCUCUGAUUCUCCAGGUUAGUCGCGAGGGACUCAUAAUCUGCAAGUUCCUGAUUUCGAAUUGUUUGUGUGUUGUUGUGUUGCAGGCACUUCACGGAUGAGAUUUUCUCAUGUUGUUCUUGCCUCCUCAUGUGGUGCCACCUCCUCACGUCGUGCAGCCUCCACAGUCCACACGCGAAGCCACCGAGGUCGGAAUCAGACGUGCCAGUCCAUGCAUCACGUUCUCAUGCCAUGCCCAAGCCAGCAGGAGCGGCAGCAACAACAGGGUGUCGUACAUUGACCUGGAGGUUGUCCCGAGGGGCACAACACCGCCAGUGGAGAUGUAUCAGGUGAAGAAGGAGGACAUGGGGACGAAGGUGGUGGUGUGGUAGAUGGCGGAGGUGGACAAGAUGAAAAAUUGGUUCGAGAGGGGGGUGGUUGUCAUCAACGACUGGGAGACGGAGCAAGUAGACAAGGCCUUUGCCUGGCUCCACAAGAUUGAGGUUCACUUUGGAAUUUGUCUCGCUUUGAUGGAGCUUGAAUUCUUCACCACACUACGACUGAUAUUCCUGGAAUUUGUGAUCACAAUGUGUGCUUCCAUUGUCAUGCAGCUCAGCCUAGGACUGAGCACGGAUGCCACUGUGUAUUGCUAAAAUUUACAGGAAAUGCAGAAAAUAGAGUUACAGCAAGUGAGCAAUGCACAGUUCCCAAAAUGUGUACCGCAUUGUUAUCGAGAUAAUUAUAUGUUGUUGUAUGGAGAGAAUUUGAGUGGGAGUGAUUGCAGCAUUGGGAGAAGGCACGCGAUACAUCCUGUUGGCACCCUCAAAAAAUGGCUUUAGAGUCUAAGGUAUAAUGACAGGGAAUAAGGUGUAGGAUCGUUUCCUAGAAAAUUCUAUUCAAUUUACAUGGUUGUGAACCAUAGAGUUUCUUAUUUUAUUUAAGGAUUUUGACGCA